UGGAGCCGCCAUGUAAAACUUAGGUUAUUUGCAAUGUCUUCCCUACAUUUCCAAACCUGCUAACUUAAACUUCCUGUAACUACAUUCCAAGAGCUCUCACCUCACCCUUCUUGGAAAUAUAUAUCCAUGCAGCUCCUUACAGUGGUGGGAACUGCCUCUGUACAUCCUAUUGCAGAACAGCACUGGUGCCUGCCUCCCAUUUUCCUCCAGGACCAAGAGUUCCUUGCUGGAGCUCUGAUUGGGUAGGGCAGUGAGUUAGACAGAAGUUGCCAUCCUGGACCAGAGUGGUGAUCUAUUUCAUCUGAUAUCUUGGCACCUAUAAUGGAUAGUGCUAACUGCUGUAGAGGAAGCUGUCCCUUUUCCUGCUAUAAUUUAAUUCUUUCUUGAAAAAGAGUUUUAAUUAGUCUUUUCUCUCAAUAAUAAGUAUUUCGGUUACUAAAAAAAGUUAGUUUGGCACUUUCAAUUCUGCAGUUCCGCAGAUUUUUCUUUUUACACUUCUCAGUGUUUUUCUGCAGUCUUCCCUCUGGAGUUAGCAGAAUGAGAGAUGCAAAGCAGGAACAAACAAAUGUUAAUGUCUUAAUCCAAAUCCUCCUGAAGCCACUAGUGUAUUGCCUGUUCCACCAUUUGGUUUAGAUCUGCCUCCUAAGCCAGCUUUUCAUGUAGUACUAAUUAGCAUGACACCAAAAUUAAAUAUUGUUUUGGAAGUAGUAUUCUCUGAGAAGAUGAGAAAGUAAUGAAAAAUGAAUGUUCAAGCCUUACAGUUCUCUGUCCGCAAAACCUGCUCUUCAAAUUUAUUUCAUCUAAUUUUCCCAUUUAUUGUCCCCUCUCUUGAAAAAAAAAAUUGUCUGACUUUUAUCUGUUGCCAUUUGUACUAAGAAGGACCACAUUAUCACUAAGGUAGGUAUCCCAAAUACUUACCCAUCAUCAGUAAUAUAAUUUGUUGUUGUUUUGCAGCAAAUAACAUGGAAACCUAUUGGCUUUUUGCUUCUUUUUAUGGCCAAAAAUGGGUGAUACCUGAGGGACCGUUUUGUAUCAGCCAAUUUUCUUUUUCUACAUCAGUGAAAGGUGCUGUAAGGAGAAUCAUUAUGAAUUUGGCCAGCUCCAUCAGGAAAGGCAUCAAAUAGAUCUUGUCUGGUUUAACUCCCUGAACUCCCUGAGGCAGUGUUUCCUCAGCAAAACUACAAUUGAUGUUGCUGCUGAAUAAGGACUUUGGGAUUGCGUCAUAGGAUAAACUCCAAAUAGCCCUCCAGCCACAGACCACAGGAGCCCUGUGUCUACUAGAUGAGUCAGCCAAAAUCCAGAUCUUAGCCUCAUACUGCUGGGAUUCACAUUUGCAGCAAAGUCCUAGCAGAGUUUGCGUGGGAAGAAGAAUGCGUAGAAGAUGAUGCAGUAGAAACGAUAUAUGGACAAAGACUUCAAGAAAGGUAGGAAAAUGUAUGGGGGUGGGAGAAGUUAUUCAGAGCUGCGUGACUUGGUAUUUCAGGGCUAGGGAGAGGCUCUUCUCUCUGAGGAGUGACUGAAUCUCUUCCUCAUAGACAUGUGGGGCUCUGGAGAGAGACAGGCUGAAUGCCAGUAAACCCCAGGUGGGGGCAAGGUCCUGCUAGCCUGCUCAGUCUGCUCUUUGGGAUAUUAAUCUGGCGGGUGCGCUGUCAGCAGGCAGGCUCACAGAUGGUAAAAGGACUCACAAGCCAGGCCUGAACACUUGCUGUGGACACAGAUGUGCUCUGAAGAUUGCUAUGGUAUUUAUGUGAAACAACUGCUUUUUAUUAAGAAGUGUU
ensembl:lncRNA